GACGAACGCUGGCGGCGUGCCUAAUACAUGCAAGUAGGACGCAGUUGCGAACGGGUGAGUAACGCGUAGGUAACUGACUAUUAGAGGGGGAUAACUAUUGGAAACGAUAGCUAAUACCGCAUACUAGUAGAUGGACCUGCGUUGUAUUAGAUAGUAGGAAGGGUAAUGGCCUAACCAGGCGACGAUACCUAGCCGACCUUGGAGGGAGAACGGCCACACUGGGACGUGGGAACGGCCCAGACUCCUACGGGCGGCAGCAGUAGGGAAUCUGCGGCAAUGGGGGGAACCCUGACCGAGCAACGCCGCGUGAGUGAAGAAGGUUUUCGGAUCGUAAAGCUCUGUUGUUAAGGAAGCGGUACUUAACCAGAAAGGGACGGCUAACUACGUGCCAGCAGCCGCGGUAAUAC
rnacentral:rRNA from 1 species